UUCUUAUUGAAUGAUGACUGCCACAUGUCAUGUUCUGAUUGGAUGUCAAUUCCAUGAAAGAUGAAAUGCAUUGUUGUUUUCAUUUACCAAUCAGAACAUGACAUGUGAUAGUCAUUAUCC
rfam:Glycine max cultivar Williams 82 chromosome 3, whole genome shotgun sequence.